rfam:Schistosoma rodhaini strain Burundi genome assembly, scaffold: SROB_scaffold0004233
AUCCACCUGACCAGUCUCGAAUAGGACGAAACGCGCGUCCUGGAU